UACGGGGGGAGCAAGCGUUGUUCGGAUUUACUGGGCGUAAAGGGCGCGUAGGCGGCCACCGCAAGUCAAUUGUGAAAUCUCCGGGCUUAACCCGGAGCGGCCAGCUGAUACUGUCGUGCUAGAGUGCGGAAGGGGCUACUGGAAUUCUCGGUGUAGCGGUGAAAUGCGUAGAUAUCGAGAGGAACACCUGUGGCGAAGGCGGGUAGCUGGGCCGACACUGACGCUGAGGCGCGAAAGCUAGGGGAGCGAACGGG
rnacentral:rRNA from 1 species